UCUCAGAGAUUAAGCCAUGCAUGUCUAAGUACAUACCUUUAAACGGUGAAACCGCGAAUGGCUCAUUAAAUCAGCUAUGGUUCCUUAGAUCGUACCUACUACAUGGAUAACUGUAGUAAUUCUAGAGCUAAUACAUGCCACUAUGCCCUGACCCGCAAGGGAACGGGUGGAUUUAUUAGAACAGAACCAACCGUGUUGUGGCUUCGGCUGCUUCCGUUGCACUCUGUGAUGACUCUGGAUAACUUCACUGAUCGCAGUCGGCCUUGUGUCGGCGACGGAUCUUUCAAAUGUCUGCCCUAUCAAUUUUCGAUGGUAGGUGACCUGCCUACCAUGGUGAUAACGGGUAACGGGGAAUCAGGGUUCGAUUCCGGAGAGGGAGCCUGAGAAACGGCUACCACUUCCAAGGAAGGCAGCAGGCGCGCAAACUACCCAAUCCCAGCACGGGGAGGUGGUGACGAAAAAUACGGAUACGGGACUCAAUUGAGGCUCCGUAAUUCGAAUGAGUACAACUUAAAUCCUUUAACGAGGAUCAACUGGAGGGCAAGUCUGGUGCCAGCAGCCG
rnacentral:rRNA from 1 species